UACGAAGGGGACUAGCGUUGUUCGGAAUUACUGGGCGUAAAGCGCACGUAGGCGGAUUUGUAAGUCAGGGGUGAAAUCCCGGGGCUCAACCUCGGAACUGCCUUUGAUACUGAGAUGCUUGAGUCCGGGAGAGGUGAGUGGAACUGCGAGUGUAGAGGUGAAAUUCGUAGAUAUUCGCAAGAACACCAGUGGCGAAGGCGGCUCACUGGCCCGGUACUGACGCUGAGGUGCGAAAGCGUGGGGAGCAAACAGGG
rnacentral:rRNA from 1 species